GAUGAACGCUGACAGAAUGCUUAACACAUGCAAGUCUACUUGAACUUCGGUUUGGGUGGCGGACGGGUGAGUGACGCGUAAAGAACUUGCCUCACAGUUAGGGACAACAUUUGGUAACGAAUGCUAAUACCUGAUAUUAUGAUUUUAGGGCAUCCUACAAUUAUGAAAGCUAUAUGAGCUGUGGGAGAGCUUUGCGUCCCAUCAGCUAGUUGGUGGGGUAGCGGCUCACCAAGGCGAUGAUGCGUAGCCGGCCUGAGAGGGUGAACGGCGACAAGGGGAAGGAGAGACGGCCCAGAUUCCUACGGGAGGAAGCAGUGGGGAAGAAUGAAGAAAGGGCGGAAGAAUGAUGCAGCAACGAAGCGUGAGGGAUGAAGGACUUUGGGGUGUAAAAAGAGUGCGCCUGUGAAGAAGAGAAAGAGACGGUAAUGGGUAAAGAAGAACCGGCGAAAAAAGUG
rnacentral:rRNA from 1 species